GGACAUUUUGAAUGCACGCGCGGCACUUGCCGCGCAUGCACAUUCGGCUCCGCUGGCGUAGGACGGGGGAGCUGACCUUGGCGGGGGUCAACAGUGCCUAGGGAGCCCGGCGCUGGUUCAAGGUAAGCUGCUGAAGGGGUGUUAACCCCUUCAGCGCCACGGGAGGGGGACUCUGAGGGUGGGGGCACCCUGAGGGCACUAUAGUGUCAGGAAAACCGCUUUGUUUUCCU